UACGUAGGGUGCAAGCGUUGUCCGGAAUUAUUGGGCGUAAAGAGCUCGUAGGCGGUUUGUUGCGUCGGCUGUGAAAUCCCGAGGCUCAACCUCGGGUCUGCAGUCGAUACGAGCAAACUAGGGUGUUGCAGGGGAAACUGGAAUUCCUGGUGUAGCGGUGAAAUGCGCAGAUAUCAGGAGGAACACCGGUGGCGAAGGCGCACAUCUGGCCCAAUACUGACGCUGAGGCGCGAAAGCUAGGGGAGCGAACAGG
rnacentral:rRNA from 1 species